rnacentral:rRNA from 1 species
UACGGAGGGUGCAAGCGUUAAUCGGAAUUACUGGGCGUAAAGCGUACGUAGGCGGCUUGUUAAGCAAGAUGUGAAAUCCCCGGGCUCAACCUGGGAAUGGCAUUUUGAACUGGCAGGCUCGAGUUCUGAAGAGGGUGGUAGAAUUUCCAGUGUAGCGGUGAAAUGCGUAGAUAUUGGAAGGAAUACCGGUGGCGAAGGCGGCCACCUGGUCAGAAACUGACGCUGAGGUACGAAAGCGUGGGGAGCAAACCGG